UUAGCGCCGCUUUGUACUCUGAGAACUUGCUUAUAACAAAAGAGGAGAAGAUAUCCAAACUGUUUCGGUUCCUCCUCUCUCGGCUGGUUGUCCACAAUGAAGUAAUCCCCCAGGAUGCAGAGCGUGCAGGAUGCAGGAUGCAGGAUGCAGGACCAGGAUGCAGGAUGCAGAGCGUGCGCAAGGAGCACUGGGAUUUUCUGAAAUCGUCUAUUGGACGAAGAAUAUCAAGCAGACCUUCUUCGCUUGCACACGGUUGCUCCUGGUUGCGUCCUCCACCGUGCUCUAAGAAACACCGUGCGUCCUGGGCCAACUUCGUAGGUUACUGUGGAUACUGUUCAGAUAUCUCCUUGAAAUCAGUGCAACGAUCCAAAUCCAAGUCGGCGCACGGUCAUCUUCUCUCCCUUUGGUUGUGCCUUCGUCAAGCAUCGCAAAUUACAUGAAGCCCCAGAACAGCCUGCUGAAGCACAGCCUGACACAAGCACAGACCUGACGUCCUGACAGGCUUGUCAAAUGCAUCAAUAAAUAAUGCACAAUUUUUUGUAAUUAUU